GUCGUAACAAGGUUUCCGUAGGUGAACCUGCGGAAGGAUCAUUACCACACCAAAAAAACUCUUCCACGUGAAACUAUACUGUGCAGUUUUUUGCCUAUUCGCCUGUAAGGGCGUCUAAGGGCUGAACGAAGGUCGUCUUAGUACGACCGAUGAACUUUAUAAACCCAUCAUAUUGUUGUUACAAUUUGUAUUGCAGCAAACGAAAGUUUCUGCUCUAAAUUUGAUACAACUUUCAACAGUGGAUGUCUAGGCUC
rnacentral:misc_RNA from 1 species